rnacentral:sRNA from 1 species
AUUCGGGCUCCCGCCUCUGUUCAGGACACUGGGUCCCCUAGGAGCCUCCCCAGGCUUAAUGAUUGUCCAGAAGGUGGCUAUAAAGGGAGCUUGGGAGGCAGGGUGGAGGAGGGAGCAGAAAAAACCCAACUCAGCAGAUCUGGAAACUGUGAGAGCGGCAAGCAGGAGCUGUGGUCAGAGGCUGUGCGUCUUGGCUGGAGGGACAAGGUCCCUGACUCCAAUCCUGAGCCCUUCGCCCCAUGUUGGGUGGUGGAGCAACAGAACUGCUAGAGGCCCGGGACUGGCAUCCAGGGGGAGGGCUCAUCACCAGCAGCCAGUCGGCAGCUUAUGCUAUCAGCAAGUUUGUCAGUGGGGUGCUGUCUGACCAGAUGAGUGCUCGCUGGCUCUUCUCUUCUGGGCUGCUCCUGGUUGGCCUGGUCAACAUAUUCUUUUCCUGGAGCUCCACAGUACCUGUCUUUGCUGCCCUCUGGUUCCUUAAUGGCCUGGCCCAGGGGCUGGGCUGGCCCCCAUGUGGGAAGGUCCUGCGGAAGUGGUUUGAGCCAUCUCAGUUUGGCACUUGGUGGGCCAUCCUAUCAACCAGCAUGAACCUGGCUGGAGGGCUGGGCCCUAUCCUGGCAACCAUCCUCGCCCAGAGCUACAGCUGGCGCAGCACGCUGGCCCUGUCUGGGGCACUGUGUGUGGUUGUCUCCUUCCUCUGUCUCCUGCUCAUCCACAAUGAACCUGCUGAUGUUGGACUCCGCAACCUGGACCCCAUGCCCUCUAAGGGCAAGAAGGGCUCCUUGAAGGAGGAGAGCACCCUACAGGAGCUGCUGCUGUCCCCUUACCUGUGGGUGCUCUCCACUGGUUACCUUGUGGUGUUUGGAGUAAAGACCUGCUGUACUGACUGGGGCCAGUUCUUCCUUAUCCAGGAGAAAGGACAGUCAGCCCUUGUAGGUAGCUCCUACAUGAGUGCCCUGGAAGUUGGGGGCCUUGUAGGCAGCAUCGCAGCUGGCUACCUGUCAGACCGGGCCAUGGCAAAGGCGGGACUGUCCAACUAUGGGAACCCUCGCCAUGGCCUGUUGCUGUUCAUGAUGGCUGGCAUGACAGUGUCCAUGUACCUCUUCCGGGUAACAGUGACCAGUGACUCCCCCAAGCUCUGGAUCCUGGUAUUAGGAGCUGUAUUUGGUUUCUCCUCGUAUGGCCCCAUUGCCCUGUUUGGAGUCAUAGCCAAUGAGAGCGCCCCUCCCAAAUUGUGUGGCACCUCCCACGCCAUUGUGGGACUCAUGGCCAAUGUGGGCGGCUUUCUGGCUGGGCUGCCCUUCAGCACCAUUGCCAAGCACUACAGUUGGAGCACAGCAUUCUGGGUGGCUGAAGUGAUUUGUGCAGCCAGCACAGCUGCCUUCUUCCUCCUACGAAACAUCCGCACCAAGAUGGGCCGAGUGUCCAAGAAGGCUGAGUGAAGAGAGUCCAGGCUCCGGAGCACCAUCCCACG